rnacentral:sRNA from 3 species
AGCACACGCCAUCCACCGUUGCACGUCUGCACCGCAAACGGCAGCCACUAGUGCCCCAGCUGCCACGUAGGUCACGAGUAGCGGUGGGCGGUUUGUGCCC